rnacentral:rRNA from 1 species
UUAGGAAUAUUCGUCAAUGGGGGAAACCCUGAACGAGCAAUGCCGCGUGAGUGAUGACAGUCUUAUUGACUGUAAAACUCUGUUGUAAAGGAAGAAACCUUGCUAUAGGUAAUGAUAGCAAGCUGACGGUACUUUACCAGAAAGCCCCGGCUAACUACGUGCCAGCAGCCGCGGUAAUACGUAGGGGGCGAGCGUUAUCCGGAUUUAUUGGGCGUAAAGCGUGUGUAGGCGGUUUAUUAAGUUUAAGAUCUAAGCCCGAGGCUUAACCUCGGUUCGUUUUAAAAACUGGUAGACUUGAGUGUGGUAGAGGUAAGUGGAAUUUCUAGUGUAGCGGUUAAAUGCGUAGAUAUUAGAAGGAACACCAGUGGCGAAGGCGACUUACUGGGCCAUUACUGACGCUGAGACACGAAAGCGUGGGGAGCAAAUAGG